rnacentral:rRNA from 1 species
AUGCACGCUGGCGGCGUGCCUAAUACAUGCAAGUCGAGCGAACGGACGAGAAGCUUGCUUUUCUGAUGUUAGCGGCGGACGGGUGAGUAACACGUGGAUAACCUACCUAUAAGACUGGGAUAACUUCGGGAAACCGGAGCUAAUACCGGAUAAUAUUUUGAACCGCAUGGUUCAAAAGUGAAAGACGGUCUUGCUGUCACUUAUAGAUGGAUCCGCGCUGCAUUAGCUAGUUGGUAAGGUAACGGCUUACCAAGGCAACGAUGCAUAGCCGACCUGAGAGGGUGAUCGGCCACACUGGAACUGAGACACGGUCCAGACUCCCACGGGAGGCAGCAGUAGGGAAUCUUCCGCAAUGGGCGAAAGCCUGACGGAGCAACGCCGCGUGAGUGAUGAAGGUCUUCGGAUCGUAAAACUCUGUUAUUAGGGAAGAACAUAUGUGUAAGUAACUGUGCACAUCUUGACGGUACCUAAUCAGAAAGCCACGGCUAACUACGUG